CUCUCUUACCUCCCUUUAUAUAAAGGUGAGGUCUGCCAUUGUUUUGUAAUCUCCGUCCCUUGAAAUAUGAGAACGUGAAAGUUACCGAAUUUAGAUGGAUGUAGUUGCGAGUUAUUCUGGCCUAUGAUGUCUCAAUUAUGAGUAGCUGGUGCUCCUGUCAGUCAUUCUGGAUCGUGUGUUAUGAUUUUUUUUCAUAUUUUUGGCCAUCUGUCGAGUAAUACAAUCAGUUAAAUAUCGACAUAAUCAUCAAUAUACAUAGUAGUCGUGUUACCGGAUAGAUUGUUGAACAUCGUCGAUUGUGCGUCAUCAAUCAGAUAUAGUUGGCGAUCAUCCAAAUAAAUUUGGCUACAAAAGUGAUUGUCGGUCUUCCUUCAAGUAAGAUUAUCGGACUUCCUCCAAGAUUAUAACUCCAAAUAUUUACCCCAAUGAUGCAUAUCUUUGAUAGAAAACACCACAGUAGCAAAUUAGAGCGGGGAUGACACUAUAGCACA
rnacentral:lncRNA from 1 species